CGCAAAUGUCUGUACAAUCUACAGUCCUCCGCUCUACCAGCUGAGCUAUCGAAGGGUGCACGCUGCAAGAGCUGGAUCACUGGACUUUCCGCAAAUGGAGGAAGCCAAGUCCUUGGAACGCUGGAGUCAACACACUUAGAGUUGAUUGGAACCCGCCUUAGAAGAGAACCUUGCGCUGGUUGCCACCGCGCACCUCUCAGGGUGGAGCAAAUCCUCCGAGUGUGGUUUCCUCGCGUCCCAGAGCGCUGAUAGCCACAAUCCAGGACGGGAGGCUCUCGCCUGUGGCCUUCCUCCACCUGUGCAUCUCUGUUUUUACAAGUGAGGAUGACAGCCCUCAGCGAAAGAAAACAAGAGGGUAUUUUUCAGACUCUGCAUUCUGAAUGGAUCAGCUGGCGUCACCGAGAUCGAUAAACUGGCCCCCUCUCAGGAACUGACUCAGUGAAAGAAGGCAAGCUCCGACUCCCUGUGAUUUUAUCUCUGACCUAACUAAUCAGCAUUCCCCUGCCUGCCCAAAUGUUGCGGGACUUUUCUUUAGUUCAGCUCAAGACAGAGUUCUUUGUCCCACGGCCACGAAAAUUC
rnacentral:lncRNA from 1 species